AGUGAACGCUGGCGGUAGGCCUAACACAUGCAAGUCGAACGGCAACACAGUAAGAGCUUGCUCUUCCGGGUGGCGAGUGGCGGACGGGUGAGGAAUGCAUCGGAAUCUACUUUUUCGUGGGGGAUAACGUAGGGAAACUUACGCUCAUACCGCAUACGACCUUCGGGUGAAAGCAGGGGAUCUUCGUACCUUGCGCGAUUGAAUGAGCCGAUGUCGGCUUAGCUAGGUGGCGGGGUAAAGGCCCACCAAGGCGACGAUCCGUAGCUGGUCUGAGUGGAUGAUAGGCCACACGGGAACGGAGACAGGGUCAAGACGCCUACGGGAGGCAGCAGUGGGGAAUAGUGGACAAUGGGCGCAAGCCUGAUCCAGCCAGACCGCGUGGGUGAAGAAGGCCUUCGGGUUGUAAAGCCCGUUUGUUGGGAAAGAAAAGCAGCAGGUUAAUACCCCGCUGUUCUGACGGUACCCAAAGAAUAAGCACCGGCUAACUUCGUG
rnacentral:rRNA from 1 species